rnacentral:rRNA from 1 species
UGGGGAAUAUUGGACAAUGGGGGAAACCCUGAUCCAGCAAUGCCGCGUGAAUGAAGAAGGCCUUAGGGUUGUAAAGUUCUUUCACCAGGGAUGAUAAUGACAGUACCUGGAGAAUAAGCUCCGGCUAACUCCGUGCCAGCAGCCGCGGUAAUACGGAGGGAGCUAGCGUUGUUCGGAAUUACUGGGCGUAAAGCGUACGUAGGCGGUGACUCAAGUCAGAGGUGAAAGCCUGGAGCUCAACUCCAGAACUGCCUUUGAAACUAGGUCGCUAGAAUCACGGAGAGGUGAGUGGAAUUCCGAGUGUAGAGGUGAAAUUCGUAGAUAUUCGGAAGAACACCAGUGGCGAAGGCGGCUCACUGGACGUGUAUUGACGCUGAGGUGCGAAAGCGUGGGGAGCAAACAGGAUUAGAUACCCAUGUAGUCCCUGAGCGGGCUGGCAAGGCGCAU